UCUUACCUCUUAUGCAAUGGUGAUCACAGCUGCAUUCGGGCUUGGAUGUCCACAACCCGGAUCUCCCUCAGCCUCUGGAUCCACCUUGUCUACUUGGAGAACCAGAAACACGAUCCAAGGGAGGAAGACCCGUAAAGUCCCAUCUGGACCAAGCCCAAUUGGAAACCGGCACCCACCAACUAAGCCAUGAAUAGAUGAACUAUGCUGCUUCCACCUUGCAAGUAGAAGAGAUUGUAGUUGAUGUCCUUUUAGCUGAAGAAGGUGAUAUAUUUUUACUUUUGAGUGUCUUUGAUGUCAUCUAAAGUAUUCUGUUGUAGCAGGAUGAAAUUUAUAUUCUGAUUCAGAUUCAAUAAACCUUCAGAUGACAAAUGCCUGA